AUUGAACGCUGGCGGCGUGCCUAACACAUGCAAGUCGAGCGGUAACGCGGGAGCAAUCCUGGCGACGAGCGGCGAACGGGUGAGUAACGCUUCGGAAUCUACCCAGUAGUGGUGAAUAACCAACCGAAAGGUUGGCUAAUGCCGCAUACGACCUGAGGGUGAAAGGGGGGGAUCGCGAGACCUCUCGCUAUUGGAUGAACCGAAGUCGGAUUAGCUAGUUGGUAGGGUAACGGCCUACCAAGGCGACAAUCCGUAGCUGGUCUGAGAGGACGACCAGCCACACUGGGACUGGGACACGGCCCAGACUCCUACGGGAGGCAGAAGUGGGGAAUAUUGGAAAAUGGGGGCAACCCUGUACCAGCGACGCCGCGUGGGUGAAGAAGGCCUGCGGGUUGUAAAGCACUUUUAGUGGGGAUGAAAAGCUCAGGGCUAAUACCCUUGAGUCUUGACCUAACCCAAAGAAAAAGCACCGGCUAACUCUGUGCCAGCAGCCGCCGUAA
rnacentral:rRNA from 1 species